UUGUGGAGGAGGACGCCGAAGGUGGGGCUAAUGACUGGGGUGAAGUCGUAACAAGGUAGCCGUACCGGAAGGUGCGGCUGGAUCACCUCCUAACAGGGAGACAACAAAAUGUUUAAUAUUAUUAUUUUGUCACCUUAGGUCGAUCGGUAUCUCACAUUCUUAAUUUAUUAAGGAUUUCAUUUCCUAAGUUUUUCUAGGUCACACCCAUUAUUUUUCCUGGGCCAUUAGCUCAGGUGGUUAGAGCGCACCCCUGAUAAGGGUGAGGUCCCUGGUUCAAGUCCAGGAUGGCCCAUAUCUCUAUGUUGGGGGUAUAGCUCAGUUGGUAGAGCGCCUGCUUUGCAAGCAGGAUGUCAGCGGUUCGAGUCCGCUUACCUCCACUGAUUACCACCUCUUACAUAAUCUGAUGAAGGAAAUGUUUUGAGUUGUGAUCAAAUUCUGAACGAUUCUAGCUUCCUAAUGAAACCAUUAAGAUGCUGGACUCAUUGAAUUAAUUUCAUUGUUUUCAGAGAACCUUGACAACUGCAUAGAUUAUUUUUAAAGACAAUAAGCAUCUUUUAUGAUGCAGAUUUAUUAUUUGUGCGAAUGCAUUAAUAACAAUUCUAUUAAGCUGAUGCUUCAAUUUUUGAAGUUAUUGGUCAAGCUACAA
rnacentral:misc_RNA from 1 species